rnacentral:lncRNA from 10 species
CUUAUUCUCCCCAGUUCAUCCUUUCUUUCCAGGUGAUCGCGUGUGGAUCAAGGACUGGAACGUAGCCCCUUUACAGCCACCGUGGAAAGGACCUCAAACCAUCAUCCUGACCACCCCCACGGCUGUAAAGGUAGAAGGAAUCCCAGCCUGGAUCCACAACAGCCAUGUGAAACCUACAGCCACUGAAAACUAGGAGACAAAACCGAGCCUGGACAAGCCCUGCAAAGUGACUCUGAGGAGGACGACAAGCCCUGCUCCAGUCACAUCCAGAAGCUGACUGGUCUACGCACGGCUGAAGCAUGAGGAGAAUCAUCGUAAAACUCAUUUUCCUUAUAAUUUGGACUUGUAUAGUAAAAACUUCCACUGAUUUUCCCCGCAUGAAAGACUACUCUUAGUGUAUACAUCAGGUUACUGAGGAAAUAAGAUGGCAAGUCUACUGAAGGAGAGAAGAAUGAAGAGGAAAUGCAGAGAAAAGGAAAAGUAAGAAACAGAGAGAUAAUGUUUAGAGUUUGAGAGCCUGACUGUAAGAGUUCCUGAGAUCCAGCGGGUACUU